UACGAAGGGGGCGAGCGUUGUUCGGAAUUACUGGGCGUAAAGGGCGCGCAGGCGGCUCUGAAAGUCAGAUGUGAAAGCCCCGGGCUUAACCUGGGAAUUGCAUUUGAUACUCUGGAGCUUGAGUACGGGAGAGGAGAGUGGAAUUCCCAGUGUAGAGGUGAAAUGCGUAGAUAUCGUAAGGAAGACCAGUGGCGAAGGCGGGUCUCUGGACAGUUCCUGACGCUGAGGCACGAAGGUCAGGGGAGCAAACAGG
rnacentral:rRNA from 1 species